rnacentral:tRNA from 1 species
GCUGAGAUAGCUCAGUUGGUAGAGCAAAAGACUGAAAAUCUUUGUGUCACCAGUUCAAUCCUGGUUCUUAGCA